AACCCAUGGUGGGGGCGUUCCCUGUAGUAAUCUUUGAACUGCUCCCAAACUACAUGGAAUGAUUCUAUACCAGUCUGCUGGAAGGAGGAGAUCUUAUUCCUCAGAAU